CUUAAAAUAUGUUUCCUUUCAUUCAUAAAGCUGUGUAGGCAUUUGAUUAGUCUUUCUCUUGACUGCCAAGGAAACCAUACUGAAAGUAGGGCACACAUUCAGAACAAAGAAACCCAACUCACGGGCGAAAACCCUGUGAUAGCCUAUCUCCUUCCCCAGAUAGUGUGCUUUGCAACAGCCAGCAGCCUGUUGCCACCUUGUAAAUGUCGCUUGCAGCCCCUUUAUGACUUCAAGGUGCAGGGCGGGGCUACAAAAGAUUUGCCAAAUAGAGACCCCUUUUCCUACUUUUUCUUUUAGCUUCUUCAACACACAGAGCUGGGACAUGUGGGAGACUUGUACCUUACCUGGGCAGGUGUGAGCAUUGGUCUUUUCCCCAGGUUCCUGGGUACUGUCAGACUGUACUGCCAGUUGGUGGCAAGACGUCAGUCACACCCUGGCGGAAGGAACAUUGAGGUCUCUUAUCAGUACGUUUAAAAAUUCAGAGGUAAUGGCCUGCACCACCUCUCCCCCCCAGUACACAACUUUAAAGCAGUUAAAUAUAGCAUAGUUUAUAUAAGACGGUGGGUGUUUCACCAUCUAUGAAAUCUGGGGUCUAGGGCUGUGGGCAGGGCAGAGAGGCCUGGAGCCUGAAGUUUGGGGAGAAGCAUAUGCAACCGGUGCAUUUCAUCCCUCUUCAUUGGCAUCUUCUCUGCAGAUGGCACGAUUGAGACACUUUCAGACAGGCAGCUUUUCCUGUGGGGCUGGCCUCACACAAAGCUCCAAGGACGCUGGCUCCAGCUGCACCCUGCAAAAGGCCAAUCUUGGUGAAACGCUGCUGUGUCCUAAGCUGGAACCCCACCCUCCCCCAUGCCGAAGUGGGGCCGCCGCUCCCCAACCAUGCAUGCUGAGCGAGAAGAACAGGGCAGAUGACCAGAGUUCUGCCAUACCAUGCUACGAUCAGAUCCCAAGCCCUGAUCCCACCAGAAGAGGGGCUGGUGCUUCCCUAAUCAUGAAAGCGCAAGGUCUGGGGUCCCUUUCCUGGAGUCUGACAUCGGCCAGCUGGAUCCCUAUGCACUGCCCUGGAAAGGGUCAACACAUUUGUUCCCGAGCUUAUCUCUGUGGGUUUCCCCCGACUGAACCCUGCUCCGGCAGGCAGUGUGUGGGCCGCCAGGCACAGCUGUUGACACAGGAAUCUACAACAUUUGUAUGUAUCAACAGAGACCAAUUAGCAAAUGCAUGCGUUCCUGUGUAAACAUGGAAACUUCCUUAUGCUGACAGGGGGAGGAGCAGAGCAAGCUAGGACUUUUGAGCACGAUUUCCUCGCGCGUUUGCUGACCAGCAUGCUGUCCAUAUGAGGCCGAGCAGGCAAAUGGAACAUUCUUGCUGGUAAUGCCCCUCUGGACCACUGUGUACAGAGAUCCUGCCUGAGAGGACCAAUCCAGAGGCCAACAGCAGUGAGAGAGGGAGCUACUGAGAUAGAGAUGAGUUUCAAUGAUGACAAAGACUGGUAGUCCAUCUGUCCUGGAGCCUCGUUCACCUCUUGACCUUCACAACUGCAUGAGCCUGAACAUUUCAUUAUUAGCUUCAACCAGUUGUAUUUGCUUUCAGACUACUACGGCGCUAAUCACGGCAUAGCAAACACCCCAUCGUGUAUAAGAUGAAAUGAGAAUCAGCAAUUCUGCUUCUAGCAUUAUUUUCCUAUGGCUGCUAUAACAAAUUACUGCGAACAUAGUGGCUUACAACUUUAUAAAUCUUGCAGUUCUGGAGGUCAGAAAUCCGAAACGGGUCUCCCUGGGCUAAAGUCAAGGUGUCUACAGGGCUGUGUUCCUUCUGGAGGCUCUAGGUGGAGAAUCUGGUUUUUGCCAGCUUUGGGAGGCUGCCUGCUUCCUUGGUUUGUCGGCUUCUCCCUCCAUGUCCACCACUGGCAGUAGUGAGUGGGGUCCUUCUGACCUGGCAUCACUCUGACCUCCUCUUUUGCCUCCAUCUUCCCCAUUCAAAGACCGUCAGGAUUACACUGGACCCACCUGGACAACCCAGGAUGCUCUUUCUGUUUUAAAGUCAGUUCAUUAGCAACCUAAUUCCAUCUGCUACCCUAAUUUCCCUUUGCCGCUGUGAUGUUCUUUCUGACACUGCUUCUGACAUCCAAUGUGUGGUGUCUUUUCCAACACCAAUCAAUUCUCCAAUUUUCCAAUAUCAACCCUAAAUCUCUGGUUCUCUGACACCAACUUGGUGCCAUUAUUCUACCUACCAGACUUCAUAUUUUAAAUGAAAUUUCAUAGCUCAACUCCCAUUCGGUACACAUUUACCUUUCGUUUUUAAAUUUAAACAGCUCAUGGGGGUAUAAAAUUGAUAGACAAUAAAUGGCACAUAUUUAAUCUGAUGAAUGUUAGCAUACACCCAUAAAACCAUUGCCACAAUCACGAAAAUGAACAUUGUCCCCCAAAGUGUCCUUGUGCCCAUCUGUAAUCCAUUUCUCCCCCCUUUCCCAUCCCUAUCGUCAGGGAUUUUUUUUUAGAAGUUCAAAGACAUUUAUAAAUGGAAUCAUACCAUAUGCAUGCCUGUUUUUCUGGUCUUUUUGUCUUUUAAGUAAGCAUGAUUAUUUUGAGA